rnacentral:tRNA from 1 species
AGACUUAUAGCUUAAAGGCAGAGCGGGUGGCUCAUGACCAUUACGGCGAGGGUUCGAGCCCCUCUAAGUCUA